rnacentral:rRNA from 1 species
UAUGUGAUCGUCUCUCGCAUAUCAAUAAGCGGAGGAAAAGAAACUAACAAGGAUUCCCCUAGUAACGGCGAGUGAAGCGGGAAGAGCUCAAAUUUGAAAUCUUAAAGGGUUUCCCUUUACGAAUUGUAGUUUAAAGAAGUGUUUUCUGUUGAGGUUUUGGUAAAAGUUCUUUGGAAUAGGACAUCAUAGAGGGUGAGAAUCCCGUAUUUGACCUUUACUUUCAACUUUGUGAUACACUUUCAAAGAGUCGGAUUGUUUGGGAAUGCAGUCCAAAAUGGGUGGUAAAUUUCAUCUAAAGCUAAAUAUUGGCGAGAGACCGAUAGCGAACAAGUACCGUGAGGGAAAGAUGAAAAGAACUUUGAAAAGAGAGUUAAACAGUACGUGAAAUUGUCAAAAGGGAAGCGUUUGACACCAGUGUUGUUUUUCUGAAAAUCAAUUAAAGAACUGUUUAUGCUAAGCUGUUUAGACUUUAUCAGCUAUCUGUUUAGUUUUGAGCUUUUCUUUAAUGCACUUUUCAGUUAACAAGUCAACAUCAAUUCCUUUUGCUGUAAAAAAGCUUGAGGAAGGUGGCUUGAGAUUCGUCUUAAGUGUUUAUAGCCUCUUGCCUAUGCAGUCGGAGAGAUUGAGGUCUGCAGCGUAGAUCCUUCGGGCUAAAUGCAUUUGUGCUAAGUUAUAGCAUUUUAUAGACAACUUGUUGACUAUGAUUUGUCUUGUAGCUUACUCGCUUAUGUUAUUUUACCUACGCUUAGGAUGUUGAAUCUGUGCGAGACUAC